GCCUCUCUCUCCGUGUUCACAGCGGACCUUGAUUUAAAUGUCCAUACAAUUAAGGCACGCGGUGAAUGCCAAGAAUGAGGCU
rnacentral:pre_miRNA from 1 species